GUCAAUCACAUGUAUUUGUUAUGCACGUGUCAGAAUUCAUCUCAUGCCCAUAUCAAGAAUCUAUAAACGAUAACCAGACAAUAUCCGAACAACCAAGUAGUUGGUUUUUGUGGCACAGACUGGCCCGGGGUAAAACUCAUCAUUACUCCCUCAAAAUCUUGGAUUUGUUUUUAUUAUAUAGCGAAUAAGUCGGGGUAGUUUUGUCCCUUUAGAAAAAA
rnacentral:lncRNA from 1 species